GGGGCUGGGGCUCAGUGUUAGAGCGCUCGCCUCACACGUGUGGCACCCUGGGUUCGAUCCUCAGCCCCA
rnacentral:tRNA from 1 species